CAGCCGCGCGGUAAUACAGAGGGUGCGAGCGUUAAUCGGAUUUACUGGGCGUAAAGCGUGCGUAGGCGGCUAAUUGAGUCGGAUGUGAAAUCCCCGAGCUUAACUUGGGAAUUGCAUUCGAUACUGGUUAGCUAGAGUGUGGGAGAGGAUGGUAGAAUUCCAGGUGUAGCGGUGAAAUGCGUAGAGAUCUGGAGGAAUACCGAUGGCGAAGGCAGCCAUCUGGCCUAACACUGACGCUGAGGUACGAAAGCAUGGGGAGCAAACAGGAUUAGAUACCCCUGUAGUCCCUGUCUCUUAUACA
rnacentral:rRNA from 1 species